AUAAAAUGAAGACAUAAAAGCAUAUAUGUGCUCUAUUUAAAUUAUAAAAAUAAGUAUGAAAUGUUGUUAAAUAUUUAGUUUUAAAAUAUGCAGAAGGUAAAGUAGAGCGUUAACAUUUUUACGAUCAAUAUUCACUUUGUAGUUCCUCUUAUCUUUAUUGUUUUGGUUGUGAAACAUUUGUUAGUUUUGUUAUUAAACUUUGAAAAUAUAACCAGGACUUAAU
rnacentral:lncRNA from 1 species